rnacentral:tRNA from 1 species
GCUUGAAUAGCUCAGUUGGUAGAGUGCAGGGCUCUGAUCGAUAACCUGGUAUAAAAGGUUGUGGGUUCGAUUCCCACCUCUGCCA